rnacentral:rRNA from 1 species
GACGUAGGAUGCAAGCGUUGUCCGGAAUUAUUGGGCGUAAAGAGUUCGUAGGCGGUUUGUUAAGUCUGGUGUUAAAUACGGGAGCUCAACUCCCGCAUGGCAUUGGAUACUGGCAGGCUAGAGUGCGGUAGAGGUCUCGGGAAUUCCAGGUGUAGCGGUGAAAUGCGCAGAUAUCAGGAAGAACACCGGUGGCGAAGGCGGCUCUCUGGGCCUUACCUGACGCUGAGGAGCGAAAGCGUGGGUAGCGAACAGG